GCCACAGAGACAGUGCCACACCAGACCUGGGAUGUAUGUAUUAGAAGCCGAACAGACUGGAGGACUGAGACACUGUUGUGAGGCUCAUCUCCCUCCCUCAAUGGUGGCCCCUUAAGCCAUCACUAGGAGGUGCAGUAGCAACAUAAGACAUGAGAAAGAAAUGAAAUACAGAAGAACAAGACCAGAAGACUAGGGGAUGAGUGAGCAGAAGCAACCUUGGAAGAAAUGCUACAUGGAAAACCUGAAACAAUCGAAUGCAGCUUCUUCAGGCUUCCACAGUGGAUUGAAGACCAGAGCUCUCCAGAAAUCCUCAAGGUCUUGAGUGCCAGAUUGAGAAUACUGAAGCAUCCGAUCUAGUGGACUGAAGAUCCAUCAGAUUCAGACUUGCAGACUCUCCGCAGGUAGUCAUUGUUGCAAU